rnacentral:rRNA from 1 species
ACACACGGCGGGUGCUAACGUCCGUCGUGAAGAGGGAAACAACCCAGACCGCCAGCUAAGGUCCCAAAGUCAUGGUUAAGUGGGAAACGAUGUGGGAAGGCCCAGACAGCCAGGAUGUUGGCUUAGAAGCAGCCAUCAUUUAAAGAAAGCGUAAUAGCUCACUGGUCGAGUCGGCCUGCGCGGAAGAUGUAACGGGGCUAAACCAUGCACCGAAGCUGCGGCAGCGACACUGUGUGUUGUUGGGUAGGGGAGCGUUCUGUAAGCCUGCGAAGGUGUGCUGUGAGGCAUGCUGGAGGUAUCAGAAGUGCGAAUGCUGACAUAAGUAACGAUAAAGCGGGUGAAAAGCCCGCUCGCCGGAAGACCAAGGGUUCCUGUCCAACGUUAAUCGGGGCAGGGUGAGUCGACCCCUAAGGCGAGGCCGAAAGGCGUAGUCGAUGGGAAACAGGUUAAUAUUCCUGUACUUGGUGUUACUGCGAAGGGGGGACGGAGAAGGCUAUGUUGGCCGGGCGACGGUUGUCCCGGUUUAAGCGUGUAGGCUGGUUUUCCAGGCAAAUCCGGAAAAUCAAGGCUGAGGCGUGAUGACGAGGCACUACGGUGCUGAAGCAACAAAUGCCCUGCUUCCAGGAAAAGCCUCUAAGCAUCAGGUAACAUCAAAUCGUACCCCAAACCGACACAGGUGGUCAGGUAGAGAAUACCAAGGCGCUUGAGAGAACUCGGGUGAAGGAACUAGGCAAAAUGGUGCCGUAACUUCGGGAGAAGGCACGCUGAUACGUAGGUGAAGUCCCUCGCGGAUGGAGCUGAAAUCAGUCGAAGAUACCAGCUGGCUGCAACUGUUUAUUAAAAACACAGCACUGUGCAAACACGAAAGUGGACGUAUACGGUGUGACGCCUGCCCGGUGCCGGAAGGUUAAUUGAUGGGGUCAGCGCAAGCGAAGCUCUUGAUCGAAGCCCCGGUAAACGGCGGCCGUAACUAUAACGGUCCUAAGGUAGCGAAAUUCCUUGUCGGGUAAGUUCCGACCUGCACGAAUGGCGUAAUGAUGGCCAGGCUGUCUCCACCCGAGACUCAGUGAAAUUGAACUCGCUGUGAAGAUGCAGUGUACCCGCGGCAAGACGGAAAGACCCCGUGAACCUUUACUAUAGCUUGACACUGAACAUUGAGCCUUGAUGUGUAGGAUAGGUGGGAGGCUUUGAAGUGUGGACGCCAGUCUGCAUGGAGCCGACCUUGAAAUACCACCCUUUAAUGUUUGAUGUUCUAACGUUGACCCGUAAUCCGGGUUGCGGACAGUGUCUGGUGGGUAGUUUGACUGGGGCGGUCUCCUCCUAAAGAGUAACGGAGGAGCACGAAGGUUGGCUAAUCCUGGUCGGACAUCAGGAGGUUAGUGCAAUGGCAUAAGCCAGCUUGACUGCGAGCGUGACGGCGCGAGCAGGUGCGAAAGCAGGUCAUAGUGAUCCGGUGGUUCUGAAUGGAAGGGCCAUCGCUCAACGGAUAAAAGGUACUCCGGGGAUAACAGGCUGAUACCGCCCAAGAGUUCAUAUCGACGGCGGUGUUUGGCACCUCGAUGUCGGCUCAUCACAUCCUGGGGCUGAAGUAGGUCCCAAGGGUAUGGCUGUUCGCCAUUUAAAGUGGUACGCGAGCUGGGUUUAGAACGUCGUGAGACAGUUCGGUCCCUA